rnacentral:rRNA from 1 species
GACGAACGCUGGCGGCGUGCUUAACACAUGCAAGUCGAACGGAAAGGCCCUGCUCUUGUGGGGUGCUCGAGUGGCGAACGGGUGAGUAACACGCGAGUAACCUGCCCUUGACUUUGGGAUAACUUCAGGAAACUGGGGCUAAUAUCGGAUAGGAGCUCCUGCUGCAUGGUGGGGGUUGGAAAGUUUCGGCGGUUGGGGAUGGACUGGCGGCUUAUCAGCUUGUUGGUGGGGUAGUGGCUUACCAAGGCUUUGACGGGUAGCCGGCCUGAGAGGGUGACCGGCCACAUUGGGACUGAGAUACGGCCCAGACUCCUACGGGAGGCAGCAGUGGGGAAUAUUGCACAAUGGGCGGAAGCCUGAUGCAGCAACGCCGCGUGCGGGAUGACGGCCUUCGGGUUGUAAACCGCUUUCGCCUGUGACGAAGCGUGAGUGACGGUAAUGGGUAAAGAAGCACCGGCUAACUACGUG